rnacentral:rRNA from 1 species
ACGAACGCUGGCGGCGUGCUUAACACAUGCAAGUCGAACGAUGAAGCCCAGCUUGCUGGGUGGAUUAGUGGCGAACGGGUGAGUAACACGUGAGUAACCUGCCCUUAACUCUGGGAUAAGCCUGGGAAACUGGGUCUAAUACCGGAUAGGAGCGCCUACCGCAUGGUGGGUGUUGGAAAGAUUUAUCGGUUUUGGAUGGACUCGCGGCCUAUCAGCUUGUUGGUGAGGUAAUGGCUCACCAAGGCGACGACGGGUAGCCGGCCUGAGAGGGUGACCGGCCACACUGGGACUGAGACACGGCCCAGACUCCUACGGGAGGCAGCAGUGGGGAAUAUUGCACAAUGGGCGAAAGCCUGAUGCAGCGACGCCGCGUGAGGGAUGACGGCCUUCGGGUUGUAAACCUCUUUCAGUAGGGAAGAAGCGAAAGUGACGGUACCUGCAGAAGAAGCACCGGCUAACUACGUG